CGCUGCAGGUGGAACUCAGGUGUGCCCGUGCAGCCGGCGAGCCUCAAGUGGCGAACGUAUUAAUCAUGUCCUUCUAUGCUGUUUUCUGAGACUCUAAUAUCUAGGGCCUCGUUGACCCUGGAGACCGCUCCUUCCAGAGCCGGCCAGUUCCUAGCGAGAGGAACUGAUUCACUGUGAGCACGCCUUGCACGCACAAAGCCGCGGACCCAGAGCCCACGCCCCCGCCACCUUCUCCAGCGGCACUCACACUCAGGACCACUGUCUCCUGCCCUCCUCACCCCAGGGCCAGGUACCAGAAAACUAGGUUUUCUGCACCCCAGAGCCCAAUGAAAUUAACCAAACUGCGGACCCUGCCUUGCCCGUUCUUCCCCGUGAAAACCACGAUAAAGGCUGCUGCCUGUGCUUCUCCCCGCCCUCCGCCUCCUGAUGGACCCUGGUCUCAGCCGUGUGGCCUCCCAGCGUGUGGCACGGUGCGCCCCCUCCUCUUGGGAUCGUGAAAACCUACAACGUUAUUGCAGGAGUCAGAGAGAUCGGAAGGUGUUAAAGCUGCCACUGGCAUUCGGCCGUGAUGCCUCACGCAGAGGGGACCAAAAGGUAACGAGACCAAGUUCCUCACACGACUUCAAUUUAAAUUAAACUUCCUUUAAUGAAAUAAAAAACAAACGGUGCAUUGCAUAAUAUCUGUGGUCACAGUAUAAAACAAUACAAUUAGUUCAUAUAACAUCGGGUAUGGACAAAAAUACACAAGACCCUUUCUUUGUCUACGUCAAAUCUGGCAGAUCCUUCUGUGCGACGCUAAGAAAGACAGAGAGUCAACUUUUUUUUUUUUUUCUUCGCCUAGUGAUCUGCGCGCAAUAUUUAUCACGGAGAAUUUGGUCAAACAGCAGAGGAGGACUUACCGAAAUCCCAGAUCCCUUCUUCCUCUGCUGCCAUUGGUGAAGCUAAAAAAAAAAAACACAAGUUUUCUGAAAGUAGCAAGUUGUGUAGUAUUGCUUAUUAUUCCUGCCCAAAAGGCUCAGUCUUUGGCUCACGGAUGUCAGUGACAAAAUCAUGGCUGCAGGCAGUCUGUAAAGCAAGAAGCGAGAGCCACCGGGGGAAACAGACAAGGGUCUGGGCAGGAGGGAUGUCCUUUGCCAGGAUCUUAAGGAAUAGCCACGUGGUGGGGGGGGGGGGGGA